rnacentral:lncRNA from 1 species
GUAAGCACAAAGCCUUAAGGGCGCCGUUUGCCCCAAGUCAAGGUGCCCACGCUUUCUUGCUCAGGUGCACUCCAGGCACCAGGGAAUCUUAGGGCCGGGUCUGGAAGGAUGACAUCACUAGUUGACAUUUUCUCCUACUUUUUUCUGACCACUGUGCUAUAUCAGGGUUUCAAGUGCUUAGAAAAACUAAUUGUAGCACCGAUUUGCAUCUCGUUUGCUGUCUGUGAAGAACGCCAGUGUGAGGUGAGGUAAUCUAUAUAGUGUAGUAGGUAGUAUCCCAAUUUUUCGAAUGAACCUCCUGGAAUUUUAAGAGGCUAAACAUGGCUCAAGUAAUUAAGUUAUAGAGUUUAAUGGAAUUGAUAUUUUCUGACUCCACUCAGCCCACAUAGAAAGCAGAAUAUUACAUUCCUUCCUCCUCUAGUUGAUAACUGAGAUGGAGAAAUGUCAUUUUGGAAGACCUCUGUGAAAACUGAUGCGCCAUGAAGGCAUUAUAGAGGACUCUAAAGUAUGACUGAAUCUUUUACCACUCUCCUCAUGCUGUUUCCCAAAGGAGAAGGUCAAGAAGUGACUGGUUUACCAGCUUUGGAAGAGUAAUGCACCCUGCCUUGGAGCAGCUGCCUAUAGACUGAAACUUCUGCAAACUGUGAGCUAAAAUAAACUUUUCUCCUUUAACUUGUGGAUAUCAGGUAUUUUGUCCCAGCAAUGAAAAAGCAACUAAGACGCUGCCAAACUGUUUUCCAGAGUAUAUAAAACCAUUUUAUAUUCUCAUCAGCAAUGACUGAUAUAGUUUCUUCAUAUCCUCACCAGCUUUUUAUGUUUUCACUAUUUUUAAUUUUAGCCAUUCUGAUAGUUGUGUAAUAAUAGCUCAUGGCUGUUUUAAUUUGCAUUUCUCUAAUUUUUAACAUCUUUUCAUGGGAUCAGUUGCUGUCACUAUAUCCUCUUUAGUGCAGUACCUGUUCACAUAUUUGGC